AGCCGAUGAGGAAUAUUCUAUUGUCAUUCUUGUACUGACAAGGUCGAAUGUCUUAUUUUCAAUCCGACGCUUGAAUUAUGAGAAUCAUACAAAAAACUGAGGCU
rnacentral:snoRNA from 2 species